ensembl:misc_RNA Metazoa_SRP Metazoan signal recognition particle RNA
GCCGGGCGUGGUGGCUCAUGCCUGUAAUCCAAGCAGUUUGGAGGCCAAGGCAGGCGGAUCACCUGAGGUCGGGAGUUCAAGACCAGCCUGACCAACAUGGUAAAACCCUGUCUUUA